ensembl:rRNA 5S_rRNA 5S ribosomal RNA
GUCUACGACCAUGCCACCCUGAACAAGUCUAAUCCUGUCUGAUCUUGGGAGCUAAGCAGGGUCGGGCCUGGUUAGUAUUUGGAUGGGAGACCACCAAGGAAGACCAGGGGUGCUGUCGGCA